CCAAAGGCUCUUUUAAGAGCCACCAAUUUUCUCUUUAAAAGAGUG
rfam:Danio rerio chromosome 7, GRCz11 reference primary assembly.